GGAGAAGGCUGAGCAGCUGGCAGACGCUGGGCUGUGCAGGGACUUGAGCUAAGCUGUUUAGGGAAAGGUGUGACAUGACCACAAGCUGGUGCCAGAGUGACCACAGAAGAGUGGCUUCCUGGGCAUCUAAGAGGGCACAGUCAGGGCGGGUCUUUAUCUAUUUCCAUCACUUAACCAUGAGCUCUUUGGGAACCAGAACCCAGUCAGAACCAUUGGGGUAUCUGAAUCUGGACCCAAGCAUGUAGUGGGGCUCAGUCUACCUGUCACCUCAUUCAGGAUUCUUUCAGUUGUCUUUGUGAGGAAGACAUGGGACAUGUGGACGAUAUCCUCACAAUAUUUCUGCAAUAAUGAAACAACAUGAUUCUGGGACUUGCUUCAAAUAUUCAGCGUGGGGGAGUGGGUAGGAGUAUAGCGAAAACCAGAUGGGCCAUGAGUUGAUAAUUGUUGGACUGGGUGAUGGAGACUGCUUUGUUAUAUGUUUCCCUUUACUGUGGUGUACAUUUAACAUUUUUCCAUAAUAAAAAAAGAAUUUAAACCCAGCAAUAAAUCCUUUCCAACAAUUGCUUUUUAAAAUGCUCCUUUUAAUAAACUUGCUUUUAAGUUCAAUUGACAGGUGGUUUUUAUCAUAACUCCUCCCUCAUAUUUUUGGCCUUUGUAUCUACUGUCCUUAUUUAUUAACUUAUUUUUAACAGUUUUAUUGAG
rnacentral:lncRNA from 1 species